rnacentral:rRNA from 1 species
AGCGAACGCUGGCGGCAGGCUUAACACAUGCAAGUCGAACGGGCUUCUUCGGAAGUCAGUCGCAGACGGGUGAGUAACACGUGGGAACGUGCCCUUCGGUUCGGGAUAACGCAGGGAAACUUGAGCGAAUACCGGAUACGCCCUUAUGGGGAAAUGUCUACUGCCCAAGGCUCGGCCCGGGACUGAUUAGCCUGUUGGUGAGGUAACGGCCUACCAAGGCGACGAUCAGUAGCUCGUCUGAGAGAAUGACCAGCCACACGGGGACUGACACACGACCCGGACUCCUGCAGGCGACACAGAUCGGGAAUAUUGGACAAUGGACGCAAUCCUGAUACAGCCACGCCGCGUGAGUGAUGCAGGCCUUAGGCUUGUAAAGCUCUUUUGUCCGGGACGAUAAUGACGAUACCGGAAGAAUAAGCCCCGGCUAACUUCGUG